AAAAUAGCAAGAUGAACUAAACGUGUUUUUCGGAGUUCAACUUCUCGAGUAAAAUCCCUUUGUUAUUUGUGAACUUUUCUUAGUUUUCACCUCCUGCAUCUCCACGCUGAGACUGAGAAGAGCGCGCGAUCAUGCCAACAGAUCACCACGCUACCAUUCUCGUCUUUAAUCUUGUAUCCUUCACAACUAUAGCUCUGCAACAAUCUCCUUGCUUGCAACAUCGCGUAAUAACUCAAAGGCACGUUCAU
rnacentral:misc_RNA from 1 species